CGAAAGCCACCUUCAGUUGAAAAUAAUCAGAAUAAGUUAGGAAGGAAAUUCGACGGAGAAGAGGCUUAGCGAUGGCCGGCGGAGACGUAAGGAAGGAAGAGAGUGACGGCUAAUUUUUUGAAUCGAUUAUCUUGCUGGCUUCUAUCUGCUGAAGUAUACGAUGUUAGAUAACUGAGG